rnacentral:rRNA from 1 species
CAAGUCGAACGCUCACCUUCGGGUGGGAGUGGCAGACGGGUGAGUAACACGUGGGAACGUACCCUUUGGUUCGGGACAACUCUGGGAAACUGGAGCUAAUACCGGAUACGCCCUUUUGGGGAAAGGUUUACUGCCGAAGGAUCGGCCCGCGUCUGAUUAGCUAGUUGGUGGGGUAACGGCCUACCAAGGCGACGAUCAGUAGCUGGUCUGAGAGGAUGAUCAGCCACACUGGGACUGAGACACGGCCCAGACUCCUACGGGAGGCAGCAGUGGGGAAUAUUGGACAAUGGGCGCAAGCCUGAUCCAGCCAUGCCGCGUGAGUGAUGAAGGCCUUAGGGUUGUAAAGCUCUUUUAUCCGGGACGAUAAUGACGGUACCGGAGGAAUAAGCCCCGGCUAACUUCGUGCCAGCAGCCGCGGUAAUACGAAGGGGGCUAGCGUUGCUCGGAAUCACUGGGCGUAAAGGGCGCGUAGGCGGCGUUUUAAGUCGGGGGUGAAAGCCUGUGGCUCAACCACAGAAUGGCCUUCGAUACUGGGACGCUUGAGUCUGGUAGAGGUUGGUGGAACUGCGAGUGUAGAGG